UAGCUCAGUCGGUAGAGAAUCUGCCUGUGAUGCAGGAGACCUGGGUUUGAUUCCUGG
rnacentral:tRNA from 1 species